CACGAGUUUGAAGCAUACUUAACUUUCGUUACGUUCGCAGCGUUAACGGUUUUACGUUUGCUUUGAAUUUUAUUCCACGGAAUAAAAACCGACGAGCGCCAACAUGUUGAAGGGGUAGCCUACGUAGAAGAACGAUUGAUGGUCGUAGUCAGACACUGGCCACUCGCAAACGGACACAAGUGCUCGCGAGUAAUGUAAUUGAACGUAAAAAAAAAGAACUUUAGUUCGGGAGUAAAUCAACGAAAACCGAUGCGCGUCAAUGUGCAACCGAAGAGAAUUACACGCCGCCGGCAACAUGAUUAGGAACUUUUGCCAGCACCUGCUUUUAAGUAAAUCAUCGGCAAUCCACUUCGACGUUAUUCAUAUUCAAUAAUUUUAUAUGAAACAGCUUCUACAGAAUAAAUUUCCAAAGGAUUUCGCACACGUUGUCAUGUGACACGUGAAUAUUGAGACAUGAAGG